UACGAAGGGUGCAAACGUUGCUCGGAAUCACUGGGCGUAAAGGGUGCGUAGGCGGGUCUUUAAGGCAGGGGUGAAAUCCCGGGGCUCAACCCCGGAACUGCCUUUGAUACUGGGUAUCUCGAGUCCGGAAGAGGUGAGUGGAAUUCCGAGUGUAGAGGUGAAAUUCGUAGAUAUUCGGAGGAACACCAGUGGCGAAGGCGGCUCACUGGUCCGGUACUGACGCUGAGGUGCGAAAGCGUGGGGAGCAAACAGG
rnacentral:rRNA from 1 species